GACGAACGCUGGCGGCGUGCUUAACACAUGCAAGUCGAACGCUGAAGCUCAGCUUUUGUUGGGUGGAUGAGUGGCGAACGGGUGAGUAACACGUGAGUAACCUGCCUCCUUCUUUGGGAUAACGCCCGGAAACGGGUGCUAAUACUGGAUAUUCACUGGUCUUCGCAUGGGGGGUGGUGGAAAGGGAUUUUCUGGGGGGGGAUGGGCUCGCGGCCUAUCAGCUUGUUGGUGGGGUGAUGGCCUACCAAGGCUUUGACGGGUAGCCGGCCUGAGAGGGUGACCGGUCACAUUGGGACUGUGAUACGGCCCAGGCUCCUACGGGAGGCAGCAGUGGGGAAGAUUGCACAAUGGGCGCAAGCCUGAUGCAGCGACGCCGCGUGAGGGAUGGAGGCCUUCGGGUUGUGAACCUCUUUCGCUCAUGGUCAAGCCGAAACAAUGGUUGUGGUGAGGGUAGUGGGUAAAGAAGCGCCGGCUAACUACGUG
rnacentral:rRNA from 1 species